GGUGUCGGCGGCAUAGAAAGUCAGAAGUGAAAGUCCUGGGCUCAACCCAGGAAGUGCUUUUGAAAUUUCUAAGCUUGAGUAUGGGAGAGGGAAGUAGAAUUCCUGGUGUAGUGGUGAAAUACGUAGAUAUCAGGAGGAAUACCGGAGGCGAAGGCGGCUUCCUGGCCCAAUACUGACGCUCAGACCCGAAAGCGUGGGUAGCAAACA
rnacentral:rRNA from 1 species